rnacentral:rRNA from 1 species
UACGUAGGCAGCAAGCGUUGUUCGGAGUUACUGGGCGUAAAGGGUGCGUAGGUGGCUCUAUAAGUAUGGUGUGAAAUCUCCCGGCUUAACUGGGAGGGUGCGCCGUGGACUGUGGGGCUAGAGUGUGGGAGAGGAAAGUGGAAUUCCUGGUGUAGCGGUGAAAUGCGUAGAUAUCAGGAGGAACACCGGUGGUGUAAACGGCUUUCUGGACCAUAACUGACACUGAGGCACGAAAGCGUGGGUAGCAAACAGG